AUGCACGCCAUCCACCCGCGCACGCUCGCCGCCAACCUCGUUGGUUUUGCCAGGUUCGGCUGCCUCAAGGACCUCCCCGAGAUCCUCUAUUGUUUCCUCCACGGCCCCCGUGAUGAGCGCAAGGACUGGGACGACGUUGCCGCGGCGGCGGCGGGGUCAAGAGCGGCAAGCGGCGCUGCGUCGGCGGCCUUGCCGCCGCCGCGGCUGAGGCCGCCAAGGCCCGGCGCGAGAAGGAGGCGGAGCACGCGCAGGCCGUGCUCGGGCGCUACGACUCUGACGAGGCCUUCCGCAACCUCUACAACGGCGUCGCUGACCUCUUCGCCGGGCUGCUCAAGUCGGACCAGGAGCACCUGCACGCGGGCGGCACGGCCAAGAUCGUGUUCGCCGCCAAGUGGUGGCCGUCGUUGCGCUUGUCGUACGACCGCGCGACGCUGCUCUGCGAGGCCAUCGCGUGCCGGGUAUUCCCGCGCGACUUGA
rnacentral:rRNA from 1 species